rnacentral:rRNA from 1 species
AGCAGCCGCGGUAAUUCCAGCUCCAAUAGCGUAUAUUAAAGUUGUUGCAGUUAAAAAGCUCGUAGUUGAAUUUCGGGAUUUGCACAUCGGUCGUGCCUUAAGGGGUAUGAACUGGUGUAGUGAAUUUCUCACCUUCUGGAGAACCGUGAUGUCCUUAAUUGGGUGCCACGAGGAACCAGGACCUUUACUUUGAAAAAAUUAGAGUGUUUAAAGCAGGCAUUUUUGCUUGAAUACAUUAGCAUGGAAUAAUAAAAUAGGACGGCAUGAUUCUAUUUUGUUGGUUUCUAGGAUCACCGUAAUGAUUAAUAGGGAUAGUUGGGGGCAUUAGUAUUCAAUUGUCAGAGGUGAAAUUCUUGGAUUUAUUGAAGACUAACUACUGCGAAAGCAUUUGCCAAGGAUGUUUUCAUUAAUCAAGAACGAAAGUUAGGGGAUCGAAGACGAUCAGAUACCGUCGUAGUCUUAACCAUAAACUAUGCCGACUAGGAAUCAGACGAUGUUAAAAAAAUGACGCGCUCGCCACCUCAUG